GGAAAUUACUUCAUUAGAAAAAACAUAUGCAUUUUGUUGACUAAAAUUGCUUAUUUUCAUCGACUAAAAUGGGACUAAAACUAAAAUAAAUCUAAUGACUAAAAUUGGACUAAGACUAAAAUUAAUUUUUAGCCAAAAGACUUAGACUAAAAUAAAAUUAAAAUUUCCUGUCAAAAUUAACACUGUGUACAUGCACAUGUGACGUGACAACAAAAGUGAUUUGAUUUGAUUUGACAAUGGGAUGUGUAGCCUGUGUGUGUGUGUUGCGUGUGCAUGUCGCGGUUGAUGGAAAGAAAUGAUGUAUAAAGAGCGUACCCCAUCUGUAACUUACUAGAAUGAAAAUACUCCAGAAGGUGACAUUUGGUCGCCUUAUAGCAGCGAUCCAAGUCAGCCAACAAGACUUUAUUAUACUUUAUUUGCUAUGCACUUAAAGCUCUGUUCUGUGUUACGGAUGAAAAUAAACCCUCAAGGCACCGGAAUAAACGUUGUCAUCCUUCCGUGUGUUACAUAAUUUGGCGAGCCAGCCAGGAGAACCAAACAUUAACAAAAGGAUCCAAAGACAAGAUAAAGAUGGAGGAAUUAAAGGAUGAAAUCACCAGAGCCCUGUGGACAUUUGAGAGAACUCAACUCAUUGAGGUUUGUCGACAUUUAAAGUGUAGUGAACCAGCCGGUGAGGGAUUCAGAGGACAACCUCGAUGUGCUCUGAUUCGUCUAGCAGAAGACACCUUAGAUGAGAUUGAAAAAGGGGAGGAGCCAGAUGUUUUCAAGCAGUUCAUAAGUGAUCUUCAGCUAUUUAUUCAAUCCUCUCCAGAACAUGCUACUUCCACACCACAAACACAGCAGAGUGGUGCGUAUGGGAUUAGAUUUGUGCCAAUAGGAUCAAGAAAAACACUUUGGAGAACAAACAAAUUUUAAGACACUGAGAGAAAAAACAUUCGUUACGUUAGGCACGUUUCCAUUGUCCUAACUUCAGGAGAAAUUCUGGGAGGGGGAAACUGACCGGGAGAUUCGAUGGCCCAAUCCUCUCAGCUGUCGUGUCUCCAUGCAAAUUCAGCCCUUUCAGGACAUACCUAUGGGAUUAGAUUUGUGCCAAUAGGAUCAAGAAAAACACUGGAGAGCAAACAAAUUUUAAGACAUUGAGAGAAAAAACAUUCGUUUCAAAAGAAAAACUUACGAUCUGAAUCAGAUUCUUAAAAUGAUCAAGAAAAACACUUUGACGGUCAAACAAAAAUUAAGAAAUUGACAGAACAAAAAUAUUGACUAAAGGAAAAAAACAUGUUUCAAAAGUAAAACUUACGAUCUGAAUCAACUUCUUAAAAUGAGUAACAAAGUAUGUUUCCUUUAUCUGAUUGCCUCUAUGUGUUUUUGUUAUCAAUUUCCUUAGUUUUGUUCUCGCUGCUCACAGCUUUGCUCUCACUACCAGAUUUGCACUUACACUUUCUGGCUUUCUCCUUUGCAAUCCCUGAGUUUUUGGUUGCAAUUCUGACACAACCCUUUCGGGUGGGUGGGACUUCUGAGAAGUCCUCUCCCAUAGGACAGUGGUUUCUCUUGAGUGACAGUUCAGUGACCCGGAAGGGAUGUAGCCUCCAAGACUUUUUUUCCCCCACCUGGUCAACAACAUGAAUUUUGAGCCCCAAACACGCUAUUUCUGCUGUCUGUGGUGUCUACUGAGGAUCUAAAGUGAGUAUUGAUAAUAUUUUUUAGCUUUUCUUAGUUAAUCUAUUAGUUACGCCACUUUUUAAGUUGGUUUUAACCAGACGUUAGCUCACUAGCUAGCUGCUAAGCGAGCCAUUGUGCUAGCCUCAGGACAAUGGUCUAUUGUUCCAGAGAGAUGUAUUAAAAACUCAUCUUAACAUAUUCAUUACUGGUUUCAUGGAAUUAAUUAUUGCAGUUUAUGUUAAUAAGUUUGCUAAUUUUUCAGGAACCUAUGGAACAUCAGAGACUUUGCAGCUACUGGAGCUGACCUGUGUACUGCUAAUUUGCUACAGAGGAAGCAGCAGAAAGCUGAGCUAAUGGGCUGUUUUGCAGGUAAAUACUCUUUUAGUGGAACUGCAGGAUUUUUAUGGUAUAACUCAGACAGAAUCUACAUGAGCUAUUGUGGGAAGACAUUUAAACUACAUUUACAUACAGAUAUAUGUAUUUUUUAUUCCAUGUUACUUGGACGGGCUAAACAAGCUCAUAGUUCUGCCUGCUCCUUUGUCAGUGAACGAAUGGAUUAUAUGAUGUAACUCUGACUGAAUAAUUAUCUAAGUGAGUAUGUUUGAUAAUAAAUUUCUUUCCAGUAUACAGAUCCGACAUUUGUUUGUCAGAACAGGACAAAUCAGAUUCAAUGUGCUUUCUGUCACGUGUUCUGUAUUCUCCAUCAAAAGAAUGUUAUCCAGGACAGAUAAUCAAUAAUGCGUUAAAUACAUGCUAUUAAUUAAUUUUUACAUAAGAUCUAUAUUUUUGUCUAAAAGCUAUUUAUUUAUUUAUUUAUUCUUUUCUUUCUUUUUACAUUGAAAACUACUGCAUUGCAUUACAAUGGAAGUGCUACACGGCCACAUGCAUCAACUGCAGCUGUUGACAAGCAUAUGGACCUAUUGUUCGAGUCUGUGGUGGUGGAUGCUCUACCAUAUCAGGAGUCUGACUAAGUACCUGUGCCUGAACCUCUCUGUGUCUAGUUCAAAAGACCUGAACGACCUGCUAUAAGCAGGCACAGGUUAAGAUUUUAAAAGAACCUGUAAGGUUGCCUGAUGCUGAACUUCAGGCAGCUGCGUGUGACUGUACUCCCGUGGAACAACCGCCUGUGGGAGGAGUCGUUGUGUUGCUGUUAGGAGUUUGGGUCGGAGUCCUGGGUUUGUGUUCCCUUUAAUCUCUUCCUUAGCCUUGCUAGUCACCAUUGCAGAGCACCAUGGAGAGGCUUACCUAAAAACUCUUCUCAUGGGGCCAAGGGCGUCAGUUUGUUUUCAGAAUUGCUGGGGACAAUAACCAUACACUUGAGUGGGGUUUAAAAAUUGCUGGGGACAAUAAAGUAGGCCAGCACAGGAGUCGGCGGAUCUGGAGCUGCAUGCGGCUCUUCCAUCCAUCUGAUGCGGCUCUCUGUGCUUGUAAAAUAAUGAAUGGAUAUUUAAAUAAAAAGCUUUAUAUUUUACUGCAUUAAUUUUACAUCUGUAUGCCAAUUCUAAAUGUAAAGAUUGUCUGCGUAAACCUGAACAGGUCCAACCCGGUCUGACUGUGAGACCGGGUUGACGCGUCACGCUUGUGCGUAAUCAUAGGCGCUUCCUGAGCUGGAGGAUGUCAGAUUCUGGGCUUCUCCUCAGACAGGUUCCUGGAUGCGUCGCCACAUUGGAGACAGGAACAAGCGCUAUUCAGCCAAAGUUUCAUAAUCAGGUGUGGCAGUGUGAGUGUCCUGUCACAGUGUCCCGAUAGAUAAUGCGCCCUGGCUACUUGGCCAAGGGGUUGUCCCUUUGGCUGACUGGUUAGAGCGUAUGACUCUCACCCGGGAGUCUGGGGAUCGAAUCCCGCCCGGGCCUUCAUUUCUCCACCUUGCCACAUAUUGACGGAUAAAGUCAAGGAUGCUGGUUGUUUUGAAAGAAUUACCCCAACGCACACUGAUGCGCAUGGAUGAGCUGACAUUUUAAUCGUUGCGCACAUCGCAGAGGUAACUUGAUUCCCAUCAGAACAUCAGAGCUUUAUACUGGACACUGUGUUCAGCGCGGCUCGGAGUGCCCACGGUGGACAGUGAGCUGAAGAUCUGUAGAGGGCUUCGCAGCGCAGUGCAGAACCACGGCGAUGCGAUAAGAUUUCCUCCCACUGAAGCGGUCUGGAAACCCGGUCUCUCUGAGGGAUGUCACUUGGAAAAAUGUUCUUUUUAUGAAAUGAUGAAACUUUGGCUGAACAGCGCUUGUUCCCGUCUCUAAUAUGGAGACGCAUGACGCAUCCAGUCUGAGGCAGAAUAGCUCUUCAGCUCAGAAAGCUCCUGUAGAGACAUUUGAUUACGCACAAAGUUUAUGUGGAGCAGAAGCGGUCGGGCCACAGCAGGUGAAAUGUUC